rnacentral:rRNA from 1 species
GUAGUCUCGCACAGAUGCAUAUCAAUAAGCGGAGGAAAAGAAACUAACAAGGAUUCCCCUAGUAACGGCGAGUGAAGCGGGAAGAGCUCAAAUUUGAAAUCUUAAAGGGUUUCCCUUUACGAAUUGUAGUUUAAAGAAGUGUUUUCUGUUGAGGUUUUGGUAAAAGUUCUUUGGAAUAGGACAUCAUAGAGGGUGAGAAUCCCGUAUUUGACCUUUACUUUCAACUUUGUGAUACACUUUCAAAGAGUCGGAUUGUUUGGGAAUGCAGUCCAAAAUGGGUGGUAAAUUUCAUCUAAAGCUAAAUAUUGGCGAGAGACCGAUAGCGAACAAGUACCGUGAGGGAAAGAUGAAAAGAACUUUGAAAAGAGAGUUAAACAGUACGUGAAAUUGUCAAAAGGGAAGCGUUUGACACCAGUGUUGUUUUUCUGAAAAUCAAUUAAAGAGCUGUUUAUGCUAAGCUGUUUAGACUUUAUCAGCUAACUGUUUAGUUUUGAGCUUUUCUUUAAUGCACUUUUCAGUUAACAAGUCAACAUCAAUUUCUUUUGCUGUAAAAAAGCUUGAGGAAGGUGGCUUGAGAUUCGUCUUAAGUGUUUAUAGCCUCUUGCCUAUGCAGUCGGAGAGAUUGAGGUCUGCAGCGUAGAUCCUUCGGGGCUAAAUGCAUUUGUGCUAAGUUAUAGCAUUUUAUAGACAACUUGUUGACUAUGAUUUGUCUUGUAGCUUACUCGCUUAUGUUAUUUUACCUACGCUUAGGAUGUUGAAGACUCUACAGAGAU